ensembl:snRNA U2 U2 spliceosomal RNA
AUCGCUUCUCGGCCUUUUGGCUAAGAUCAAGUGUAGGAUACUAUGCACAUGUAGAUACAUAAGCAUGCAUCUUGGAUUCUUUUUGAUUUUAAGCAAUUUUUAAAAGACUAUUU